rnacentral:rRNA from 1 species
GUGGGGAAUCUUAGACAAUGGGGGAAACCCUGAUCUAGCCAUGCCGCGUGAUCGAUGAAGGCCUUAGGGUUGUAAAGAUCUUUCAGGUGGGAAGAUAAUGACUGUACCACCAGAAGAAGCCCCGGCUAACUCCGUGCCAGCAGCCGCGGUAAUACGGAGGGGGCUAGCGUUGUUCGGAAUUACUGGGCGUAAAGCGCACGUAGGCGGAUUGGAAAGUUGGGGGUGAAAUCCCGGGGCUCAACCCCGGAACUGCCUUCAAAACUCCCAGUCUUGAGUUCGAGAGAGGUGAGUGGAAUUCCAGGUGUAGAGGUGAAAUUCGUAGAUAUUCGGAGGAACACCAGUGGCGAAGGCGGCUCACUGGCUCGAUACUGACGCUGAGGUGCGAAAGCGUGGGGAGCAAACAGGAUUAGAAACCCGGGUAGUCC